AUCUCCCAAAAAAGCAUUUGUCACAUGUUUAAUUUUUGCCUGAUCUAUGAAGAAAUGAAUUUGAAUCACAAAUUUUUGUGUCUAUUAGAGACACAGCUGAGACUGACUAACAAAAAGGUUGUCUAAUUCACGCUCUGACAUUCUGAUGCUUCCACUAGUAAGAAGAGUGCUUCAACUGACAUCACAAAAGUUUA
rnacentral:lncRNA from 1 species